CGCACCUUGCACUCUUUGGUAUUCCGAAGAGUAUGCCUGUUUGAGUGUCGUGAAACCCUCAACCCCCCUGUUUUGUAAUGAAGCAGGCGUCUGGGCUUGGAUUCUGGCUGUCUUGCCGGCCCUGUACAGGGUCAGCUCAGCUGAAAUGUACGAGCAGCUUGUAUUUCGAUACCAUAGAAAGCUUCACUCGGCGUAAUAACACUUAUUCUCGUCAAGUUGAAUGCAGUCUUAUCGUUAGACGGCGCUUAUAAAUCGCUUCACCUUUGAGUGAAACACUUGAACUUUAGACCUCAAAUCAGGCAGGAUUACCCGCUGAACUUAA
rnacentral:misc_RNA from 1 species